GGGAUUUGGGGCAGGGGAAACGAAUGGAUUCCCCCCGAUAGGCAGAGGAAUGUCGAAUUUUGUCUUCUCGCCCAAAGACCCACCAGACUUGACUUUCCGUAAGGGGAAACACUGUCCUCGCAAAGGUGCCAUGACUUUAAACUCUCGGGAAGCCCCCUCCCUGGAAGUGUUUUUUCUUGGAUGGCGUGACGAGACCCUGCCCUCUGCGGCGGGCUUUCACUGCAGGCCUUGGACCCCGGGAGACUCGGAUCGGGAGCGCCUGGCCCGUCACUCUCGGCAUCGCCUUUCCAGGAAAUGGGCCUCCAUCCCGGACCGCCGUGCCUGCCCGAGCGGGCCCUUCCUCCGUAAGCCGCUGGGGAGCCGCGUGGAGAUGGUGUGCGGGGGGUGCUCUUCUUUUCUCGCAAAGCCGCACUACGUGGACCAGCCGUCGUCGGGAUGGAAGUUCCCACCCCCUUGCGGGGUGUUUCUGCUCCGGAGUUGUGCCAACCUUCCUCUCCCAUCGCAGCUACGUUCCUCCCUUCCUCUUCCGCUGGCUGGGCCGAUGGGAACUGGUCGAGGUUCCAGAUGACCCCCCCCCCCACGAAAGAAAAGGCCGGCGGGGGCCCUUGGAAUCGGGCCUGUGUGUGGCGGAGGCAGCCAAAGUUAAAGACGGGAGCAGUCUGACCAUGUUCUUGUUCACGGUGCACUUUAUAUGAAGAAAACUAAAGAAGGAGAAAAGAAAGGAAGAGUCCUACUGAAGAAAGCACUAGCCUGCUCACACACACUUCUGUCAGGCUGCAGGCGGAAAGAGGAUCGCCAAAAACGCACCAUUCCAUUUCCUUCGGGUGUGGGGGGGGGAGAAACGGGGACUUUGCGGCGUUUGGCCUACCCAACCGGCAGCUGCCCCCCCCCUUCCAACAGCCUCCCCUUGGGAUUGAAUUCUCCACCUGCUUUUUGCCUUUUUAUCGUGCGCCCCUCCCUCCAGACACAUUUUAUAGCUACUUUUGGGGGGCGGUGGGGGGAAGUGUAGGAUCGUGCUUGACCGGAACGGAAGGCCGAGUUCACCAUCCGACGUUUCAAGUCUGUAAUUCAGUACUCUCUGUGUGCGUGUGCGUACGUUGUAUACUUUUUCUUUUUAAUUUUCAAGAAGAAGAAGAAAAAGAGAAGCAUUAUUACAUGGUUUUGUGCCAAUGCCCAUUCUUUUCUUUAGUACCAGAGACACUUUUACAAGUACCAGUGUGGUGAAAAAUUAUUUGGUUAUACUAGUAUAUUAUAAACAGAGAACCUGAUUUAAAAAAAAGAAUAACAUUUAAACGUCCUAUUUAAAAAGAAUAUAAAAAUGCUGUUUUUAAAAACCUUUUUUUUUUUGUCAUUUUGAACUUGCAUGUGGUGUUAACACGUGGGGGCAGGGUGGGCAAAGGAGGGGAUUUGGAAUUGCGUGGCCCGGGGUUGGUAUUCCCCCCCCCCCCUUUGUGUUCCUGUCUCGCACUCCCGACGGCGAGGAGGAGGAGGAGGAGGAGGAGGAGGCAGAGGCUGGGUUUCUCGGAACACUUGAAUUCGUUCAUCUGCUGGGUGCUGACCCUCCUUAUUUUAGAAGUACCUGAUGGGAAAUUGAUUUUCAUAGCUUUCUCCUGAAUAAAUUGUUUGAAAUUGGAAUAAAAUUCAUUCCUUACAAAAA